rnacentral:rRNA from 1 species
GAUGAACGCUAGCUACAGGCUUAACACAUGCAAGUCGAGGGGGAACGACAUCGAUAGCUUGCUUUUGAUGGGCGUCGACCGGCGCACGGGUGAGUAACGCGUAUCCAACCUGCCCACCACUUGGGGAUAACCUUGCGAAAGUAAGACUAAUACCCAAUGAUAUCUCUAGAAGACAUCUGAAAGAGAUUAAAGAUUUAUCGGUGAUGGAUGGGGAUGCGUCUGAUUAGCUUGUUGGCGGGGUAACGGCCCACCAAGGCGACGAUCAGUAGGGGUACUGAGAGGAAGGUCCACCACAUGGGAACUGAGACACGGUCCAAACUCCUACGGGAGGCAGCAGUGAGGAAUAUUGGUCAAUGGGCGAGAGCCUGAACCAGCCAAGUAGCGUGCAGGAAGACGGCCCUAUGGGUUGUAAACUGCUUUUAUAAGGGAAUAAAGUGAGUCUCGUGAGACUUUUUGCAUGUACCUUAUGAAUAAGGACCGGCUAAUUCCGUGCCAGCCGCCGCGGUAAUAC